CUGGGCCGGGCUGAGCUGGCCCGCUCCGGCGCCGGGGACCACGCGCGACUGGUUAGAUCUUGUCGUGAUCUCUGGAAAACUGUGACUAUCUCACAUGUCCUGCCCAGCUCGGAUCCCCUGCGCUAACGAGCCAGGCCCCCCUUGAUUGCUGAUUUUACGCUUUUUGGACCAAUUGUGGGUCUCCGGGGGCGGGGUUUUGACAGCUCAGGCCAAGCUCCGGCCGGGAGGGGGGGCCUGGGAGAAGGUGUCGGAAGCCUCAGCAGUAAGAAAACAUGUCAACAGAAUAAAAUAUUAACCAAUGACGGGCCGCCGGGCCCCGAGACCCCUCCUCCUGCCCCGGCCCCCACCGCCCGCCCGCGCCUGCGGCUGCCUGCGCCGGACUGGAGAGCGCGGAGGGCCGACCUGACCCGCCGAAAGGGCCUGAGGCGAGGGGAGCCCGGGUCCCGGGGCCUUGGGGAAGGACCCGCAGCCGCACGCCGGCCCCAAGUGCAAAGCAUUGACACGACCCCGAGCGGAGAGGGGGCGCCCUCCUUCUCCCGCGCCCAGAGGCCCGGCCGCUCUGGCCCGAGCCCCAGCCUGGCCUCCGACCCAGCUCCGGGUCGUGGCGCCGCCUGGGGGUCCCUGCGCCCCGGAAAGAGACAGCAGGCACUGGAAAGCGAGGCCGGUGGGCGGGCGAGUCGGGAGGCUCGGGCGGCCGAGGUCCGGGAGCGGAUCCCAGGUGGCGGGAGCUGGUGAGUGGAGCCAUGGCCGAGCCCUGCUGGGGCCGGCGCGGGCGGGAGCGGGACGCGGCCUUGCGCUGGGGAAACGCGGGGACCCCCUACCCGCGCCCGCCUUCACCGGAAGACUCGGAAGGAACCUGGAGUUCUCCGCAGGCCCGGGCCCCGCCCUGAGCUUUCCAGCGGCCGGGAGGAGCGGAUCCUCGGGGCCAGGAAGGUGAGCGCACCUUUCGCUGAGCACAGGGCGGCACCGCGCGGGCGGACCCCGGAUUCUCCACCCGCGACCCAACGAAUUUUCGCCCUAUCCGGUACCGGAGACGAAAGUCUCCUUCUUCCGAAAUACCGGCUUCCUCUCUUCGCCCUGCCAACCACUUUUUUAGUUUCUUCUCAUCUCUCGGAAGCGCACGUCUCCUAAGUUAAGGAGUGCUGAGUAACGCGUGAGGGAGUUGGGGUGUCUGCGAGCACCUGUGAUUGAAGCCCCCUCUUCUGUGAUCAGUCUUCGUUUUCUGUCUUCCGGCAGCCUCAGUUUCCCCCCCAUGAAGUGAUGGUGUGUGUGUGUGUGUGUGUGUGUGUGUGUGUGUGUGUGUGUGUGUCGGGCCCCGUGUGGUGCCCUCUGUGCGCAGCGAGAGCUAUAACUCAAGGUGUGCACGGGGAGAGUGAAGCGACCACGCACCUGCUUCCAAUCGGGCUCGGGCGCGAACACUCAGGCUGAUUCCUGAAGGUCGUUUUCUGAAGGAAAAGACAGAGCAUGCACUAGCCACGGGUGACAUUCCCACCCGUACAACCGCGUGGUGGGCGCGUACAUCCAACAUUGACCCAUGCAGGCGCCCGCCCACUGCGCACACCGGUCGCAGGGCACUUCGUUGUUGAACGUUGGGAGCAGCGUUUGAAGGCCGGAUCUCUCCUGGCAGUGCGGAUUCGGGACCGGCGGAAGCAGUAUGGCCUCUGCGACCGUUAUCCCUACUUUUCGGGGCCGACCCCAGGGCCCUCACAACUCCUCAUCACCGCAUAUGUGAGCGCCGCCCCCACAGGGUUUUCUCCACGACCUCGUUCUUGGCUAGGUCGCACCUCUCUUAGUACCUCCUCUCUGGCCAGAACGAAUCUUUGACUCCGAGCUGCGCAGUCUACGCAGACGGGGCAGGAUCCACUGCAGUUUUCCACAGGCAAAUACCUGCUGGCUCCACCUUAGGCGAGAUGUGGCCUCUCGGGGAGGGACCCGUUGUGGACACGUUUGCGCAGCCGUUGCCACGCUGGCUCCCACCGGCCUCUUUCCAGAUCAUGAAGGUAUUUUUCCUUCAUCAAAUUGAGAGGAAGUCCGUAGUAAAGCUGCCCGUUGACCAGGUAGUGCCGAGAGAAUCGGUGCCCUGGCAGGAGGGACUGGCUUAUGCCACCCUGUGCAGGAUCGUCUUCUCAGCUUACAGAGCCUAGUGUGAUUCAACAACCCUCCAUCUCUGCCCCCAACAUGCCCAACUGAUCUGGUGGAGGGAACUGAAGAUGAAGGCCUCUCAGGCACCAUGGAUGGGAUGGGUGUGUGUGAAGGGGGCAGGGUCCCCAGGAGCUGCCCCAGGUCUGGCUGGACAGUUGCACGGGAAGUCCUGUUUGUGAACUCAACGUUUCCACGGCUUUUCCAUUAAACUUUACCCCAAAUCACACCUGGCUCUGUGGGUUUCCUUCCAUUCUCCAAGGCCUCCCUGGGGUCUCUGGGAAGUGUGGGCCAGGGAAGGGGGCAAAGGACUAGCAUUCGUCUCCUUCCUGCUCAAUGCACCAUUUUUUCUCCCUGUUCCUGUCUCUGUUGCCACUUACUUUAGGUCCGGAAGUGGUGGUGGUGGGGCGGGGGGACAAAAUCAGGAACGUGUCAUCUGAGGGUUCCGGCCAGGUUUCAUGAGAUACCCACCUUCACCUGACCACCCUUCCAUCUUCUGAGUUAAAAAGAGGCAAUUACAACAAGGUGCCCCCCAGAUGAGGCUUUGCCAGACUCUCCCCUUGACAGCAACCCACCAGCACAUGGCAAGCCCUGAUCCCCAGGGAGGAGGGUCCAACCCU
rnacentral:lncRNA from 1 species